rnacentral:rRNA from 1 species
AUAUGUUAAUAGCAUAUUCAUUUGACGUUAGCUGCAGAAGAAAGCACCGGCUAACUCCGUGCCAGCAGCCGCGGUAAUACGGAGGGUGCGAGCGUUAAUCGGAAUUACUGGGCGUAAAGCGCAUGCAGGUGGUUUGUUUAAGUCAGAUGUGAAAGACCCGGGGCGUCAACCUCGGAAUUGCAUUUGUAAACUAGGCAAACUAAGAGUACUGUAGAGGGGGGUAGGAAGUUUCAGGUGUAGCGGUGAAAUGCGUAGAGAUCUGAAGGAAUACCGGUGGCGAAGGCGGCCCCCUCGGACAGAUACUGACACUCAGAUGCGAAAGCGUGGGGAGCAAACAGGAUUAGAUACCCUGGUAG